UUGGUUUUUACUGUUGGGUUUUGAGAGUUCUUUACACGUUCUGGACGGUCCUUCGUGCGACGUGUGGUUUGACAUUCCUUCUGCCAGCCGGAAGCUUGUCAGCAUCCUCUGAGGGGCUCUUUGUACAGCAAGAGUUUUUAGUGUUGACAAAGUGCAGUUUGAUUUCUUCUUCUUCUUCUUCUUCUUUUAUAGAUCGUGCUUUUGGUGUCGUGCCUUCAUCAAGCCCUAGGUGCCAGUUCUUGGGUUUUUUUUGAAUUUUGAAUUGUUUUCCUCCCAUAGGUAAUAUAUCAUUUCUCUCUGGCUGCUUUUAAGACAUUUUCUUUGUCUUCAGUUUUCAAAAGCCUCACUCGCCGCGGUGCCAUCUCAUCCCGCCACCCAUUUCAGCGCCCUUCCUCCCCGCCAACAGGAUCAGACAAACCUACAGUGAACUGUUAUAAGCUGUGUGAUCUGUCUUCCCAUUCAGAGUUUUCCCUUUAAUUAACAGCUUUCUGCUGUGAAACCCUGGGUGCUGCUAUUGCUGCCUUGAAGUAGGUCUCUGUCAAAAUCUAGCUGUGCUUUAUUAUGAAGCCGCCCCGCAUUAACACAGGGUCCUGGGCUCUGUGGAGGCCUUCCAUUGUGCGUGCUGUCGAAGUGGAUGGAAAAUCCCACCAGAAUUUCCCAGGAGGCCCCUGCGGCUUCGUGGCCUCUGACGAGGGAGUAACCCCCUCCAGCAGCCUUGGUGAGACGGUGGCCUUCCCUGGGACAAUGGGCGUGUCCUCUGGGCAGGCGGUGGGCCUCCAGAGCGGCAGUCUUUCAUCUAAAUCACAUAAAGAAGGGACUUCCCUGCUGGCGCAGUGGUUAAGAAUCCACUGCCAGUGCAGAGGACACAGGUUUGAGCCCUGUUCUGGGAAGACCCCUCAUGCCGCAGAGCAACUGAGCCCGUGCGCCACAACUGCUGAGCCUGCGCUCUAGAGCCUGAGAGCCACAACUGCUGAGCCUGCGCUCUAGAGCCUGAGAGCCACAACUACUGAGCCCGCGCGCCUAGAGCCCGUGCUCCGCAACGAGAGAAGCCACCGCAAUGGGAAGCCUGCGCACCGCAACAAAGAGCAGCCCCCGCUCGCCGCAACUAGAGAAAGCCCGCGCGCAGCAACGAAGACCCAGCGCAGCCAUAAAUCAAUAAAUGAAUCACAUAAAGAAUUUUCGUAAACUUUGAGAGUGAGAUUAAUGCCAGCCCCUGACCUGCAGGCCUCCACAGCUGGCGGCUCAGAGGCAGUUUUCCUGUCUCUCCGUCUCGCCUCUCCUGGCAUACGACAGCCACCAGGAGGCCUGGGCCCUGUCCUGGGAGGGAGCUGCCCGAGCGCCCCGAGGGAGGACGGAGGCCUGCUGUGCGUCAGGGUCGGAGGCGACCUCUCUGAGCAAGGCCGCUGGUGCCAGGAGGCCCGGUGAGGAGGCAUGGGAGGGAGCAGGGUGACACCGGAGAGGCUGGCGGGACCCAGAGUCUGCGUCGUCUCCCAAGAGCUGUGGGCGGUUUCUAGGCUGAGCAAGGACCCGGUUUGUUGUGGGGUUC